CGACGUCGGCGGCGCCAAGGCGUCUUGGCGUCGGGCGUCUGGGACGUGGCAUCAACGGCCCCAUCCGGCGCCGGCGGCGGGCGCCCGGCGGUCUUUGCUGCCGCCCGGGGGCGCAGAGGCCGGGCCUUUUCUUUCAGCACAAACGUCAGUUUGUAAAAGGGUGGGGCUGGAGUCUGAGGAGUUUUCAGGCUUCUGUCUCGAAGGAAGUCUGGCAGGCUCGGAAUUGCCAUCUUCCUCAGGCAAAUAGUUUUUCACCUUAGAGCCAGCCUUGGCAAGGCCAAACCGCCCAGUCACCCGACUUCCCACAGUCUCAGCAGGGAGGAAAAAAUUUUUUUCAUCUAUAAUUUGGAAGCCAAGUCGUAACAAAAUGAAACCAGUAAAGCAUCUGUUGACCACCAGUAACAAAUCGGCAACUCUUCCAGCAUUAACCAGCAAAAAAGGACUACAUAAUUUACCACUAUCACCUAAACUGAAGGAAAAACAUAAUGCAAAAUUAAUUCAUGAUAAAAUUGAACCAAUGGUCCUGAGAUCUCCACCAACAGGAGAAUCCAUUGUACGGUAUGCUUUGCCCAUUCCAUCGAGUAAGACAAAGAACUUACUACCAGGAGAUGAAAUGAUUGGAAAAAUUAUCAAACGUCUGAAGAUGGUUGUUUCCACUUUGGAAGAAACCUAUGGACACUGUGAUCAGAAUGGAGAAGAACCAUUUGUAAAGCGUGAAAAUGAAGAAUUAUCUUUAUCUGUUGGGGAUGAUAUGAAUUCAUUCUUGACGUGUUGUUCACAAUUUGCAACUCAGCUAGAAGCAGCACUUAAAGAAGAACAAAAUAUUUUGGAAUCUCUUUUUAAGUGGUUUCAGUGGCAAGUCAAUCAGAUGGAAGAAGAAAGCCACCUUCCAGAGAGGUGCUGUACUUCCUGCUGGGAAGCUGUUCACAAGGGUGAUAUGUUGGAAAACUUCCCUAAGGGAGGCUCUGCACUGGUGAAUUUUGCUACAAAGUUCUGGGGGAAGCUGCCCAUAGGAAUCUGCCAUGCCAGGGACCUUACCAGGAAGUCAUCCAUGAGCUGAUGCUGUUGAAAUUUUCUGGGGGUGAGUACUAUAAAAUAUACUACACACUGCCUGAGGAAGAAGCAGAGAGAGACACGGAACUAGGAAGAGAAGCUUCUUCCUCUUCCAAUGCCUCUUCAGGACACUCUGCUGAAAAAGGUUAACAUCAGACCACCAGUCAAGGAAGAAAUGUUCCACUAUCUCAGACAACACAAUGAAGAAUAGAUUGUUGAGAUAAGUAAAGAUCAAACUCUUUUACAAGCAGAGCCUCCAGAACCUGACAAAACAGUCACUUUAAGUAUUGCACAAAUAGUACGCCUUU